UACGUAGGGGGCUAGCGUUGUCCGGAUUUAUUGGGCGUAAAGAGCGUGGAGGCGGCCAGAUAGGUCUGCUGUGAAAACUCGAGGCUCAACCUCGAGAUGUCGGCGGAAACCAUUUGGCUAGAGUCCGGAAGAGGAAAGUGGAAUUCCUGGUGUAGCGGUGAAAUGCGCAGAUAUCAGGAAGAACACCCGUGGCGAAGGCGGCUUUCUGGGACGGUACUGACGCUGAGACGCGAAAGCGUGGGGAGCGAACAGG
rnacentral:rRNA from 1 species